rnacentral:rRNA from 1 species
UACAGAGGUGCUCAAGCGUUUGUUCGGAUUCAUUGGGCGUAAAGGGUGCGUAGGUGGCGCUGUAAGUCAGGUGUGGAAAUUUCGGAGCUUAACUCCGAAACUGCAUUUGAUACUGCGGUGCGUUGAGGACUGGAGAGGAGACUGGAAUUCACGGUGUAGCAGUGAAAUGCGUAGAGAUCGUGAGGAAGACCAGUGGCGAAGGCGGGUCUCUGGACAGUUCCUGACACUGAGGCACGAAGGCCAGGGGAGCAAACGGG